GACGAACGCUGGCGGCGUGCUUAACACAUGCAAGUCGAACGGACAGACAGAGAGCUUGCUCUCUUGAAGUUAGUGGCGAACGGGUGAGUAACGCGCAAUCAACCUGCCCUUCAGAGGGGGAUAACAACGGGAAACCGUUGCUAAUACCGCGUACGAUUCAUGAACGGCAUCGUUUAUGAAUGAAAGGUGGCCUCUAUGUAUAAGCUAUCGCUGAGGGAGGGGAUUGCGUCUGAUUAGCUAGUUGGAGGGGUAACGGCCCACCAAGGCAAUGAUCAGUAGCCGGUCUGAGAGGAUGAACGGCCAAAUUGGGACUGAGACACGGCCCAAACUCCUACGGGAGGCAGCAGUGGGGAAUCUUCCGCAAUGGACGAAAGUCUGACGGAGCUACGCCGCGUGAGUGAUGAAGGUCUUCGGAUUGUAAAGCUCUGUUAAUCGGGACGAAAGAGUUCUGCGUGAAUAAUGCAGAAAAGUGACGGUACCGGAAUAGAAAGCCACGGCUAACUACGUGCCAGCAGCCGCAGUAA
rnacentral:rRNA from 1 species